rnacentral:lncRNA from 1 species
AAAAAAAAAAAAAAAAAAUUUUAAUUUCAACUUUUAGCUGUUAUUUUUAUUUGACAUUGCCUGUCUUUGUUUUUAAUAAAAAGCUUUAAAAACAAUUUUUGUUGCUUAAUUCAAGUUAAAACUAACUAGCGAUUUAAGGCGCGUAAUUUUUAAAUUUUCUUCAAUUCACAAUAACAUUGCAAAAUGUUUUCUAAAUCUAAAACAAAGAGGUUUCAAGAUCCAGUAUCAUGUGCACCUCCACCAGGAUCGUAUAAUAUUCCAGAUAUUAAAAAAGUUAAUCUUGUCAGUUUUGACAAAUCUAAAAGAUUCAAUGAACCAAAAGAUGUUUCAUCUAGUAUUUUAUCAUCGUCUUCAGAAAGUAGCUCUAUGGCAAUUUAUA